rnacentral:misc_RNA from 1 species
AAGUCGUAACAAGGUUUCCGUAGGUGAACCUGCGGAAGGAUCAUUAGAGGAGAAACACGCCGGAACCCGAGUAGCUGGGGUAACUCCUAGCUACAGAGCAGUACGGCCAACUCCACCCGUGUUUAUAUACCAUUGUUUCUUUGGCAUAGCCACCGGCUUCGGCUGGGUCGCGCCGGCCAAAGGCCCUUAACUCUGAAAUUACGUGAUGUCUGAGUACUAUAUAAUAGUUAAAACUUUCAACAACGGAUCUCUUGGUUCUG